GCAGGUAGGUGAGAGAGGGUGUAUUAGCAGGUAGGUGGGAGAGGGUGUGUUAGCAGGUAGGUGGGAGAGGGUGUAUUAGCAGGUAGGUGGGAGAGGGUGUAUUAGCAGGGUGCAGUCAACUGUGAUUAGUCCUUUUAGCGCCAGCUAGCCGACUACGAAGAUGAGGGUCGGACGAUGGGCGGCUGAAGCAGGAGUCCGGCUGUGACGUCUUUUGGCAGUCAGCGUCUGCGACAGAAGGAGCACGCGUUCACGACAAACAUGGCGUCUGUCAGUACAGGAGAACGAGGCAGUCGCACGUUCCGAGCGCUUAGCGGGUCAAUCGACGACCCGAGGAGUCGAUUCGUCGCCGAGGGCAACGUGCGAUGAAUCCGCCGACAACAACAUGUAGAGGGCGCCUCAAUUUCCGCCUCAUUUCCUGUGACACAAGCGAUGACUCGCGGCGUUCCGCACUUCCUUGCCGAUCGGCGCCACGUCCGGCUCUGUUUCUGGCAGCUAGACAGAGUCAGCCUCAAGCUAUCCUCACAGUUAUUGACAGGUCGCCGAUCUUGCCCGGAUUGUUGGCAUUUUGCCAGGGGGCAACCUACCGGGUAGCGGGGGGAUUUCUCGGUGAUACAUCAAAUUAAAUUAAUCUUUAAUUAAAUAUUUUUAAUUAACUCGCGUGCGUAUGCGCAGCUGUCGCGUGUAGUAGAUGUGCGGGUGUGAGGAGUGUAUGAACAGUAAUGAUGUAAUGAUGAGUGGAUGAGUAAUGAUGACAUUCAUUGUGUGAAGUACCAGGGUUAGGUAGAGAUUCCAUACAGCAGUGGCUAAUGCUCUGGUGCCAGCUGUGUAGUGAGUGACACACACACACGCACACAUACACACAUAUACCCAUGUACGCAUGCAGGCAGGCAGGCAGGCAGGUAGGCAGACAGGCAGGCAGGCAGGCAGGCAUGCACUCAUACACAUCUAGACGUGUCUUCCCGGAGAACACCUGUGGUGAAGAAAAAUCAAAUGCUAGAUGUAGUGCAAGCCACGUGUGAUUAGUUCACUGCUCCAGCAAACCUUGUAGUGGAGCACAGAUUCUGCGAUGUCGCCGUUCCCUUGUUCUCCCGCCACGGCGCGAGAAUGGCCACAUUGAUUGUAAUGAUUAGAUUACCAUUAGCGGAUUUGCACGCGAGAAUUGGUGUGUUAAUCUCGAUAGCAGAACUGUGUGAUUAGUACACUAGUCUCUUCACCCGUGAGCUAGCUACAUGACAAACUGCUGAUUGAUUGCCAAUCAACAGCGAGGGUUAAUAACUAGAAAUGCCGUACAAACCCGUUAAUGACGAAGCAGCGCCAUCUAUUGUCAAACAAUGCUAUAAAUCGCGCACGGGUUCUGCCGAUGUUAUCAAUAGUACAUAAACUACUAAACUAGUGUAUAAAAUUAUAUAACUGUUAUACAUAAACUAUAGUUUACGUACUCUUGAUGUUGUGUGUUAUUAAUAUAGCUGAUAAUAUUGGAUUAGAGGUGAUUGCUUUCUAGCCAUCUUAUCGAACAAUUCGCGCAAACUGACAUUGUAAGAAACCUGUUGAUUAUAACAAACGUGAUAUUUGCUCUGAUUGAUAUAUAUAUACGUGAUAGUUACUUUCAGUCCCAAACCCACAUCCUCUCUCCUUCCUCCCCGCUCCUCUCUCUGGCUCACAGUAAACAAGUUGACGCGCAUGCGCAAACGAUCCGUGAGUCGUCCAUAGAAGUGAUAUAGUAGAUGAGCAUGGUCUAUCUCUAGGUGUCAGUAUUGAGCCGGCUACAGCGGCGCCCCCUAACCUCGCGGUCACAUUGAUCGCCUGUAACGCAGGGUGUGUUUUUCCUCCAUUCUCUUCUCAACCGUGUAACACUUGAUUUGUUCUUGCGACGCGCCGUCCGUCGCCUGGUAUUUAUAAUAUAGGCGGUAUAUCUCUUGUUACACGAACAUUACAAGACGUUUGACAGA